UGAUGAUUGUAAAACGAAUGUGAAUCGUCGUCCAGUUGGCGCGCUAAUAACUUUCUUUUUAAAAAUUUAAAAUAUUAGAAGUAGAAAGGUCUGUUUUCCGCAAACACUAAAUAAUUUGAUAUGAAAAUAAUCCAAAUAUUUCCAUGGAUAUUGAGCGCUGGCGAUCAAACUGCUUUCUUCAUGGGUUUUUUCGGUUUGGUUUUAGGGAAGGGGUUGAUUUUCUUUGAUUUUGGCGGGGAGUUGGUGUCAGGUGGGUAGGGCAGAUUUUUUAAUAUCGAUAUCUCUACAAAGCGUGGUUAAUUAGAAUAUUUAAGUCGUCUGCAUUUCGUUUAGUAAAGCUAAAGGAGAUGAAGGAUCAGAUAUUUUUAAAAAUAGAAAUCUGAGAAGAUAAGACUGGCUUGGAAAAGUGUAGCCUUUGAAGUGGCUGCAUAAGAAAUAGCAGAACAAAAAAAAUAUGGCAGUUGUGAUUCUCCAUGACCAUGCUCUCCACUCCAUGCUGUUUCUCAGAUUUGAAGCCAGAGCCAGCCAUCAUAAAACCACACAAUAUGCAAGUUUUUCUUGUGUAUAUAGGUGUUAACUGUUAACCUGUCACCAGCAACAAUCUCAAGAUCAUCGCUUGGAUAAAAAGCAUCCCAUUGCAUUGGAAUGCAAUCAAAUGCAUUGUCAACCGAGUAACGGAUCUCUCUUUCGUCCAUGUGAAUGUGGGUGUAUUCACGUUCACGAGGACCCCCUUUACCCUAUCCCGUCUGGUGUCAUUCAACUCUUCAG